UGAAGUAAGACCUUUAUUGUGUUUUUGAGCAUGUCACUUGUUUUCCACUGACAGUUUCCUAUCUCGUACAGGGAUACAAACCACAAAAAAUCUCUAGUUCAUCAGAGCAAUUGGCUAUUUAGUGCCUACAUAUUUUUAACCAGCGGCUCAUUUAUUUUCAGAAAUGAAGGCUACUGUUAGAUCUUUAUCAGUUAAAGAUGUCAAUAAUGCUCAGUUUUACUGGUUAAACCUUUUUUCGGGUUUGACAAAAUGAAAACAUUUAAACUUUUUUUGUAGUAUUAAGUCAGAAAUGUUAUAGACAGUCAGGAUAUUUCCUUACUUUUGGUGGUUGAGGGAACACAGCCAUAACUCCACCUUUCAACCUCCCCUCUUUUCCCUUCCACAGAAGAGUGCCAUCUGGUGGUGUCAGAUGUUAAAUCCCAACAUUCAGCCUCUGAGCACUUUGUUUCCCUCAGUUUUUUAGCACUUGAAAGGUGUUGUCUCUCUUGAUGGUAGGGAAAAACUAAAAUGAAGACAAAUAGAUAUGAUAUUAAGGAAUGAUCUGUCUUUCCCUUUUGCCAAUCUUUACCUGGCAUUUUAUAAAAAUCUCUUGCUGAUACAAAAUCAUGCAGUUCCUGUUGAACAACAGCGAUACUCAUACAUGGAGAAUGAAAAAAACGGUUUACCUCAAGAACAACAGAGAGCAGUGCUGUUGGAAUAUUGUUGUGGUUCACACAGAGAAGAGGCUGGUUUAUCUUCAACUUCAGGUGGCUUUGUCGACCAACAACAGCACUGCUGGGAGAGAACCUGAGCACAGUCCUAGAAUUUAAGUCACUGUGUUAUUUGGGACAGCAGGAUUAGAAGCCAAUAAGCGAAAGAUGACCAAGGAUUUACAUGUUGCUGGCUCAAAGUUGGAGAAUGGGGAGCUGCAGUGGCCUACAGAAACUUAGGAGGGUGAGAGAGAUACAGCAGCCAAAAGACGAAUGGGUAGGUCUGCCAUGCAUCAGCUUCUGUACUUCCUGAACUAUGGGAAACCCCUUCAUGCAAUGAAACAUCCUGAGGAUUCCCUGCUAGCACACAUGCCCAGCACUUUGCUGCUUUAGAGAGCUGGUUUUAUUGUGAGAUCCCAUGUUAAAACUACUACGCUGAUUUCUA